GUGUGGUGAGAAGGACUGGAAGGAGUACUGCUGGGCAGCACUCUAAUGUACAUCACCUCCCACGAUCCUUGGGACCAGGUACAGUGUCUAGUAUAGUGGGUAGUACAUCUGUGGUUUUAUUCCGUCCUUGGGACUGAAAGUUAAGAGGGUGGGCUUUUGGUUUAGUUCAUCGUCGGGGCGACGAUGCAGAAGCUGGGGGUGGAUUGUAACCGAAUGAAUGAGGUACAGGUGGUGAUUGACACCUGACCACCAAUCAGUAGCGAGCAGGCACUAUUUAGAGCGGGUUGGUUUGAGCCUGGCAUGCGUCACAUCCGUAUCCUCCCCUUUUCUGGCUGCUAUAGUGAUUUCAGGUAUGUGCUGUUAGUAUGUAGCGUCGGCUAAUUAGUUUUUCUUUGCUCGUUGCACUAAUGGCUCGUUUGUGUAUCCUUAGCCUGUCUUUUCAGUGUGUCCCUGUUGGAUGCUGGUUUGGAUCUGUUUACUGCCCUCCCUGCAGCAGGUUAUUUGAAGGCUGCGUAUCCUGAGCGGUGCAUUGAUUCUCAGGAACUUAUCUAUCCGCGUUUGGAUCCUCAUUUUUCGUCCUGGGUGAUUAUUGCUGCGAUUCGACUUUUCCCUCGCUGCGUGCCGAGUGAACAACCUUGGCUUACAACUAUUUAAAAGGGGAAUUCUGCUGCUGCCGUUUGGCUUUUGUGAUUUGUUUUAACCGGUAUUGUCUGGUCUACUGUGGGGUUGAGCAACGUGCAAGUAUCGGGGCUGGCUUGAGGACGACGUGGCCGCUCCUUUUGGGUUUUGCUUCCCUCAAACUUUUAAUCAAGUUUUUCAUUGGUUUUCGUUUAAGCGGUGUAUAUGGUGAAUCAUAUUGUGCUUGGUGACUAUCCAUCAUAUUACGGUGGAAUUGUGACCUUAAUUCGCUGUUUCCUUCAUUUCUGUCUGAGAUUUAUUUUGCUUUUGGUUUCUUUCAGGAGCUGGGGUCCCACGGGUGAAAGGUCUUUGGUGGUGCUAUUUCUACAUUUGCUGUACGACACUUUUGACGUGUAUGCGUGGGUGUUUUGAGUUCACGGUGAGGUGUGUGUGUGUGUGUGUGUGUGGAAGUGUGCUUUUUGAUAAUUAGUGCUGAUCACUCCGGUGGGUAACUCCAGCCCUGUAUGUAAUGAUUUUAUGAUGUUUUGUUCAUUUGGAAGUUGUGUAAAUUUAUUGUUUAAUAUUUUGUCCGAUUGUUUAUUUGUUAUUUGUGUAAUUGUCACCGGACCAUAAUCACCAGCGAGAACAUUUUCUUUUUGUUUUUAUAUUUUAAAGCUAAGUUUUCAAUAAACUCUGUAUUGUUGUAUACGAUG